AGGAGUUUAAUCAUGCGUGGGAUAGGCAUAAAGCUAUCCUAGAUAGAAGAUAAGGCCAAGGACUAAUGAAAGUAUUUAGAAAACUGGGCAGACUAGAUGGGCCGAAUGGGUUUUAUCUGCCGUCACAUUCUAUGUUUCUAUAACGAUAGAGAUACGGUAUUAUCUCUAAUAACGAUAGAGGGACGCUAUUAUUGUCAGGAUUACAAUUGAUCCAACACGCAGUAUUAG